ACGUGAAACCCUGUCUGAAGUAUGGGGGGACCAUCCUCCAAGGCUAAAAUACUACGUGGAUCGACCGAUAGUGAACCAGUACCGUGAGGGAAAGGCGAAAAGAACCCGGAGGGGAGUGAAAUAGAUCCUGAAACCGCAUGCAUACAAACAGUGGGAGCCCCUUCGGGGGUGACUGCGUACCUUUUGUAUAAUGGGUCAGCGACUUACGUUCAGUAGCGAGCUUAACCGAAUAGGGGAGGCGUAGGGAAACCGAGUCUGAUAAGGGCGAUUAGUUGCUGGGCGUAGACCCGAAACCGGAUGAUCUAUCCAUGGCCAGGAUGAAGGUGCCGUAACAGGUACUGGAGGUCCGAACCCACUAAUGUUGAAAAAUUAGGGGAUGAGCUGUGGAUAGGGGUGAAAGGCUAAACAAAUCCGGAAAUAGCUGGUUCUCUCCGAAAAACUAUUUAGGUAGUGCC
rnacentral:rRNA from 1 species